rnacentral:rRNA from 1 species
GGGAGUUGGUAACGCCCGAAGUCAGUGACCCAACCGCAAGGAGGGAGCUGCCGAAGGCGGGACUGAUAACUGGGGUGAAGUCGUAACAAGGUAGCCGUAUCGGAAGGUGUGGCUGGAUCACCUCCUUUCUAAGGAA